AUUGAAGUCUGAAAUUCGACUUCAUGAAGCUGGAAUUGCUAGUAAUGGCAGGUCAGCAUACUGCCGUGAAUACGUUCCCGGGCCCUUGUACACACCGCCCGUCACACCAUGAGAGUUGGGAAUACCCGAAGCCUGUGAGCUAACUGUAAAGAGGCAGCAGUCGAAGGUAGAAUCAAUGAUUGGGGUGAAGUCGUAACAAGGUACC
rnacentral:rRNA from 1 species